rnacentral:rRNA from 1 species
GUUUCCGUAGGUGACCUGCGGAAGGAUCAUUAUAGAUAUGGAUAGGGGGUUGUUGCUGGCCUUUCGAGGCAUGUGCACGCCCCUGACUUCACGUUCCUCACACCCGUGCACUCGCGUUUCAGCCUUUGUGUGGCUGGGGCGCUUUUUUUUUAAAAACACAUACCUUGCAUGUUCGAUAGAAUGUCUAAUGAAUUUGUUGCCUUAUAAGCAAUCAAUACAACUUUCAACAACGGAUCUCUUGGUUCUCGCAUCGAUGAAGAACGCAGCGAAAUGCGAUAAGUAAUGUGAAUUGCAGAUUUUCAGUGAAUCAUCGAAUCUUUGAACGCACCUUGCGCUCCUUGGUAUUCCUAGGAGCAUGCCUGUUUGAGUGUCAUUAAAUUCUCAAUCCCUACCCCUUCUGGGUGUAGAGCUUGGAUUUGGGGUGUGUUGGCCUUGGGUCGACUCCCCUUCAAAUGUAUUAGCUGAGCCGCCUUGGUCUCAUGUCUCGGUGUGAUAGUAUGUUAUGCCGUGUCAACGUGAGGCCCUUGCGUGGGUUGCAUCGCUUAUAGUCGUCUUGUAGUGAGACAGCUUGAAACAUUGACCUC